UUCCCUCUGUCUAAUUAUACGGUGGGUGAGGCUGGCACUCCUGGGUCCCAGAUUCCUGCUCUGGGAGGCGCCCUGGAAUACAGGCUUCUCCCAGUGCCUGAAACACCCCCUUUCAUCCCUUUUGGAACUGGCUUCCGUGGGGAUUCCCCAAGUCCCCCGUUCCAAGAAGGCUUCUCGGGUUCGGGGAGAGGCUUCCAUGUCCCCAGGGAGGCUGGGGGUGGCGGGAUGAGAGGCGACUGAGAACGAGGAAACCAACGGGAAGUGCAUACCUUGGGUGACAAAGUCAGAAGCCAGACUGCGGAAGAGGAAGGAGGGAGGCCCAGAGAUAAAGCAGAUUGAGUAGGAGGGACAGAGACUGGCUUGGAAAGGGAGAUUGUGACAAACUAAGGCUAAAAGAGAGGGGGGGGGGCACAGAGGCUAAGACACACAGAGACAAGGAAAGAGGGAAAUCCACGCCUACUCUGUGGCCAUGAGCGAGCUCUGUGUGUCCAGUGACUAGCCCGUGUGCGUGGUAGGGCUGUGGCUCUGCCUCAUGUCCAUGUGUGGCCACCUCACACCCUCCCUGCCAUCUGCAUGCCACCAGGUGACACACACGUCCCUGAAUCACAGGAGGUCAAAGCGUCGAGGGGCAUCAGCAUCGCCUCAGCCAACUCCCUCAUCUCAGUUUUACAGAUACGGAGACAAACAGCCUUCCUCGAGGAUCUCACGUGGUAGUUAAGAGACCACCUUGCUUCAAAUCCUUGCUCUCCUCGCUUCGUGACCUCCACAUACUUGCA